rnacentral:rRNA from 1 species
GAGUGGCGGACGGGUGAGUAAGGACUGGGAAACUGCCCGAUAGAGGGGGACAACAGUUGGAAACGACUGCUAAUACCGCAUGAACCCUGAGGGGGAAAGAAGAAAUUCGCUAUCGGAUGUGCCCAGUUGGGAUUAGCUAGUAGGGGUGGUAAAGGCACACCUAGGCGAUGAUCUCUAGCUGGUCUGAGAGGAUGAUCAGCCACAUUGGGACUGAGACACGGACCAGACUCCUACGGGAGGCAGCAGUAGGGAAUAUUGCACAAUGGAGGAAACUCUGAUGCAGCCAUGCCGCGUGUGUGAAGAAGGCCUUCGGGUUGUAAAGCACUUUCGGAGGGGAGGAGAAAGGACGUUACCCUCAGAAGAAGCACCGGCUAACUCCGUGCCAGCAGCCGCGGUAAUACGGAGGGUGCGAGCGUUAAUCGGAAUAACUGGGCGUAAAGGGCAUGCAGGCGGUUGGACAAGUAAGGUGUGAAAUACCGGGGCUUAACUUCGGGGCUGCACUUUAAACUAUCCGGCUAGAGUAUUGCAGAGGGAGACGGAAUUCCAGGUGUAGCGGUGGAAUGCGUAGAUAUCUGGAAGAACACCGGAGGCGAAGGCGGUCUCCUGGGCAAAUACUGACGCUCAGAUGCGAAAGCGUGGGGAGCAAACAGGAUUAGAUACCCUGGUAGUCCACGCUGUAAACGAUGUCGAUUAGAAGUUCGAGCAAAAGCUUGGGUUUCGUAGCAAACGCGCUAAAUCGACCGCCUGGGGAGUACGGCCGCAAGGUUAAAACUCAAAUGAAUUGACGGGGGCCCGCACAAGCGGUGGAGCAUGUGGUUUAAUUCGACGCAACGCGAAGAACCUUACCUGAUCUUGACAUCCGCGGGAAUUGGUC